rnacentral:rRNA from 1 species
AUUGAACGCUGGCGGCAUGCCUUACACAUGCAAGUCGAACGGCAGCACGGGAGCAAUCCUGGUGGCGAGUGGCGAACGGGUGAGUAAUAUAUCGGAACGUGCCCAGUAGUGGGGGAUAGCCCGGCGAAAGCCGGAUUAAUACCGCAUGAGACCUGAGGGUGAAAGCGGGGGACUCGCAAGAGCCUCGCGCUACUGGAGCGGCCGAUAUCAGAUUAGCUAGUUGGUGGGGUAAAAGCCUACCAAGGCUACGAUCUGUAGUUGGUCUGAGAGGACGACCAGCCACACUGGGACUGAGACACGGCCCAGACUCCUACGGGAGGCAGCAGUGGGGAAUUUUGGACAAUGGGCGCAAGCCUGAUCCAGCAAUGCCGCGUGCAGGAAGAAGGCCUUCGGGUUGUAAACUGCUUUUGUACGGAACGAAAAGGUCUGCCCUAAUACGGCGGGCUCAUGACGGUACCGUAAGAAUAAGCACCGGCUAACUACGUG